rnacentral:rRNA from 1 species
UCUUCGGCAAUGGACGCAAGUCUGACCGAGCAACGCCGCGUGAGUGAAGAAGGUUUUCGGAUCGUAAAACUCUGUUGUAAGAGAAGAACGUUAAUGAGAGUGAAAAGUUCAUCAAGUGACGGUAUCUUACCAGAAAGCCACGGCUAACUACGUGCCAGCAGCCGCGGUAAUACGUAGGUGGCAAGCGUUGUCCGGAUUUAUUGGGCGUAAAGCGAGCGCAGGCGGUUGAUUAAGUCUGAUGUGAAAGCCCCCGGCUCAACCGGGGAGGGUCAUUGGAAACUGGUCAACUUGAGUGCAGAAGAGGAGAGUGGAAUUCCAUGUGUAGCGGUGAAAUGCGUAGAUAUAUGGAGGAACACCAGUGGCGAAGGGGGCUCUCUGUCUGUAACUGACGCUGAGGCCGA